GGAUGUGAGGAGGAUCUUGCUGCGAUAUCCGUGACCCAUUCAUCGCCAGAGUUGACUCAGCUGAUCUGGCUGGCUGGGUGAGUGUCUCCUUUCUCCCUCACCGCUACAUGUGUGUCCCUCCCACGCACUGGGCAGAAGAUGACGGGUCUUCCCUCAAGGGUAUACGAGCAGCUGUGCUUCCCCAUGAGAACCUCCAUAAAUUAAAAUAUUGGUGUAAGAUGGAAGAAAAAUCAGGUUGUAAAUAAGAUAUAGAAUAAAUAGAUCAUGAUUUCUUGUCU
ensembl:misc_RNA 7SK 7SK RNA